rnacentral:rRNA from 1 species
AACGAACGCUGGCGGCAUGCCUAAUACAUGCAAGUCGAACGAGAUCUUCGGAUCUAGUGGCGCACGGGUGCGUAACGCGUGGGAAUCUACCCUUGGGUUCGGAAUAACAGUUAGAAAUGACUGCUAAUACCGGAUGAUGACGUAAGUCCAAAGAUUCAUCGCCCAAGGAUGAGCCCGCGUAGGAUUAGCUUGUUGGUGAGGUAAAAGCUCACCAAGGCGACGAUCCUUAGCUGGUCUGAGAGGAUGAUCAGCCACACUGGGACUGAGACACGGCCCAGACUCCUACGGGAGGCAGCAGUAGGGUAUAUUGGACAAUGGGCGAAAGCCUGAUCCAGCAAUGCCGCGUGAGCGAUGAAGGCCUUAGGGUUGUAAAGCUCUUUUACCCGAGAUGAUAAUGACAGUAUCGGGAGAAUAAGCCCCGGCUAACUCCGUGCCAGCAGCCGCGGUAAUACGGAGGGGGCUAGCGUUGUUCGGAAUUACUGGGCGGU